UCUGAGAGCCCACUGAGCUCCGGGCUAGGCUGGCUGUGUGGGCACACACUCUCUUUAUGACACUGGGAUAAGAAGAUGCUCUCCUGACACUUUUGAGGGGUCCAAAAGAGGCAGAGGUGAGCUCUGGGGGUGAUGCCCAGCUUGGCUGAGAAGGGCCCAUGGAUCAGGACCUGGCAAAGGGGUACCAGGACUCUGCAGGCAUGGAGGAACUCAGGCCUCAAGAGGGAAGUCCCGGAACUGCCUGCUCAUGUCCCUGCUGAGCAUCAACAGCACUUGGGGGUCCCUGAAGGUUGAUAAAUAAACAAAACCUUGUCAAGGAAAAAAAAUGCCGAUGAAUUGAUGAAAGGAUGGAGAGCCCAAGUCGGACUGAAUCAAGCCGAUGCUUAGCAGGUCUAAACACUCCAACCUAUGGAAGUUUCCUCAAGACCAGUCCUGAGCAGAGUGUGGUCAUGUCUGGAUUGCCUUUGGGGCAGCUUCUGUGGGGUAACCAGAGCCAACGACAGGAAGAUCUGGGAGGAGUGACCUGGAAAAACGCAAAGAGAGAUUGUAAUAUAGAGAAUAACCAAGUAAUCUCUGAGCUGUGAAACUACAACCGGGGAGAGACUCAGCCACCUGGUCAGCCUGGAUGGCUCUGGUUUGUGUGAGGUUCAGAGUCUGCCACUGAAAGCCAGUUUCUCAGAGAAGAAGUUCUCACCUUGAGAUGCUUGCAGAUUCGCACCAGUCAUCAGAAACAUGACAAAGAAUGUGCACGGAGCAGUCCCUGUUCUCAGCCCCGACACUGGGGGCAGCUGGUACGUGCUCCCACGGCAGAUGCCGGGUUGCACUGAUGGUCUGAGUGGCACUUCCGUUCCUGCUGGCCCUCAGAGCCACUGGGUUAGCAAGUGCAGUGGCACCGACACAAACAUGUCUUUGCAGCCAACACUUUCUGGGGGGCUGGGGAGGUAACCCAACAUAGUGGAUGGAGCUUGGGAUUUGAACACUCCACUCCUCGGAGGCUCUAGGUUCUCUCCACAGCACCAUCGUAAGCCAGAAGC